ACUAGCUCAGUCGGUAGAGCUUGAGACUCUUAAUCUCAGGGUCAUGGGUUCGAGUCCCACGU
rnacentral:tRNA from 1 species